GUCUUCGAUCUGCUGCGGGCAGAUGUAAUGGAUAUGGCUGUCAAAGCCGCCCGCCGUCAGGAUCCGCCCUUCGCCUGCGAUCACCUCGGUGCCGGGGCCGACGAUGAUAUCGACGCCGGGCUGGGUGUCCGGAUUGCCGGCCUUGCCGAUCUUGUGAAUACGCCCGUCCCGCAGGCCGACGUCGGCCUUGUAGAUGCCGGUGUGAUCGACGAUCAGCGCAUUGGUGAUCACCGUGUCCACGGCGCCUGCCGCGCGGGUGGCCUGGGAUUGUCCCAUGCCGUCGCGGAU
rnacentral:sRNA from 1 species